CCAACGCAUUUUUUGUUUCAUUUUUCCUUCGAGCUCAAACACAGAAGAAACUCGAAAGAGCCCUAGUAAAUGGCUGCCCUCUUUCAUCUCUUCUUCUCUCCUCUUUCCAAUCGCUAAUUACCAAAUCUAUUCUGUUACUACUUUUUUUUUUUUUAAUUUAAAGAUCUUAGCCUCCAAAUCAAAUCGGAAGACACUUUGGUUUUUCUAUUGACGGCUUGAAGUUGAAGUUUCGGAUGAUGGCUUUACCUGGGCCCAGCAGCAAUAUCACGGUCUUGAAUCUGGUAGCUUCAUUCUGUUGCAUAAGCUACUGGCAGCCAAUGGUGAUUUUAAUCUUUGCUGUAGGUUCCAGUUCUUACAGUGUCAGCCUUGUAAGGAAUAAGCAUUCAGUUUCUGCCUUCUGAAAGGUCUAGUCAUUUAGCAUAGCGUUGGUACGUUAGAGAUUUCAACAUGCCAAAGGAGAGAAGAAAUUGUUCUGUGUCUUUUGACGGGUAUAGGAGAUCUCCCUUCUCAUGUAGCCCCAGCUCUAGUCACCAAUCUUCGCCAAAACUCCCUUCAGAAACUGAGGAAAAUCUAAAGGAAUGGGAAGAAGCCAGGUGCCCUGUCUGCAUGGAGCAUCCACACAAUGCAAUUCUCCUCAUAUGUUCGUCCCAUGAGAAGGGUUGCCAUCCAUACAUGUGCGAUACAAGUUAUCGCCACUCUAACUGUUUUGAUCAGUUUCGCAAGUCAUUUGUUAAUGCCUCAGCAGGAACAACACAAGAUCCUCAACAAGAAGGAGCUCAACUUGUAACUGCAAACUUAUCACCAGCGGCAGCUGCAACUUCAGAAUCAACUGUUACUGAUUUGCAGGAAGAAAGAAGUGAGGAAGGGCUCUCCACCCCAUCUAUUGUCUCAUGUGAGAAUCAGGUGCUGUCAAAACUACUGUGUCCACUGUGUCGUGGUGAGAUAAAAGAUUGGGUUGUUGUAGAGCCUGCUCGUCAAUUUAUGAAUGCCAAAUCUAGAAGCUGUUCCUCUGAAACAUGUAAUUUCACUGGUGCUUAUAAAGACCUAAGGAAGCAUGCAAGACUUGAGCACCCUUCUGCUCGCCCAUCAGAGGCUGACCCUGAACGGCAGCGAAAUUGGAGGAGGUUGGAGCGCCAGAGAGACCUUGGGGACUUGCUCAGCACUCUGCAAUCUUCAUUUGGGGAGGAGAGGGCUGAUGACGGCAUUUUGCCAAUUGAUGACGGAAGUUGGCUCACUGUCUUUUUCCUUAUUCGAGUGUUUCGACCAAGGUCUAGUCGUAGGAGCAGCAGUUGGUCUGGCACCUCAAGGGCAAGAGCUCAAUUGAGUCUUAGGAGGAGAUCUACCAGACUGUGGGGGGAAAGCUAUGAUGGGGAAACUGGAUCUACCAGAGAUGAAGACAAUGAGUCUUCAGACAGUGGUUCAUUUCCUUGGAGGCGCCGUGUAAGGAGACGGACAACUCCUGAUAAUCAACCAUGACUAUGAUUGUAUCUUUAGAGAUCUGUUUAUUGUUUGAAUGUGAAAGUUUCAAUUGUAGGAGGAAUAUGAGUCUAUUGCUUGAGCUUCUACAUCCGUUCCGCGCAGCUCGGAACAAAUUUGGUCCAGAGUUGCCGGAUGUUAUCAAAUAAGUGAAUUAAAUUUUAAUGUAUUCGGGAAAUUAAAUCAAUCAGUAUACUCUUUUCCUUGCGAAUCAAUUUCAUUUUGUCUUUAUGGCUGCAAGAAUUUGAGUGUUUUCGUUUCAACUGUUGAGGGGCAAUUGUUUUUGUUUUUGUUUUUUUUGUUACAGUGAUGGUGAUUAGAGCUAUUCUUGGCUGCCAUUUGGUUAAAGUACUAUUUGCGAAAAAGACACUGAAGCAGGAAAUCGGUCAUCUCACCAAAAGAAAGCAAAUUCAAUUCUUCUGGUUUCACAUUUGUGGAAUUUAUGCGUCAGUUUUGAGUCUCACGUGCUGCACUUUUAACAACAUUUUUUAUGUGGAUUAAUACAACCAAUGUCGCAUUUGGACAAAAGUUCGAAGGUGGUAGGGUUUUACUCGUUUCUUUGGGAGCGACCAAACGAACCUCUCAGUUUUUUCUUUUUAUCUCCCACUGAUUUUUUAAUUUUUUAUAAGUAAA